rnacentral:rRNA from 1 species
AUUGAACGCUGGCGGCAGGCUUAACACAUGCAAGUCGAACGAGCGGCGGACGGGUGAGUAAUGUCUGGGAAACUGCCUGGUGGCGGGGGAUAACUACUGGAAACGGUAGCUAAUACCGCAUACCCUCAGAUGUGCCCAGAUGGGAUUAGCUAGUUGGUGGGGUAAUGGCUCACCAAGGCGACGAUCCCUAGCUGGUCUGAGAGGAGGACCAGCCACACUGGAACUGAGACACGGUCCAGACUCGUACGGGAGGCAGCAGUGGGGAAUAUUGCACAAUGGGCGCAAGCCUGAUGCAGCCAUACCGCGUGUAUGAAGAAGGCCUUCGGGUUGGAAAGUACUUUCGGCGGGGAGGCGUUACCCGCAGAAGAAGCACCGGCUAACUGCGUGCCAGCAGCCGCGGUAAUUC